AAGUUGUCAGCAGGGGGAAUAACCCAGGGCUGUGAAUGUGCCCUGUCACUGUGAUCAGGUUCCUCCUUCUAAUCCACCAACUUAGUGUUGAUGAAGACUAAACAGAGAGAUCCCAGCCUUCUUUCUACUUGCUGUAGCUCAGAGUUACUCCACACUGCAGAUAUGACGCCUCUGUUCAUCUCAGUGCUGCUGGCUGCUAUGAGCCUUGAAUGCAGAGCACAACAAGAAAACGUGCUGCAACCAACAGGAGAUGUGACUGCUACUGAAGGAGAGGCAGUAACACUUGGCUGUCAAUAUAGCAGCAGAUCAACUAAUAAUAAUCUCUUCUGGUACAAACAGGAUGGAAACAGCCCCAAAUUCAUUCUGAUGCGCGUUCAAGGGGAUGAAGGGAACACAGCGGACGAGUUCAGGGACAGAUUUUCAUCUACACUCAAUUCCAAGAUAAGAUCAGUUCCUCUGAAGAUCUCCUCAGCUAAGCUGUCUGACUCUGCUGUGUACUACUGUGCUCUGAGGCCCACAGUGACAGGAAAAUACUCCAGACAAGCAACUGGUAGUGAUGAGUUUUACUGGUAUCGUCAAUAUCCAGGAAAACCACCAGAGUUCAUCAUCUCUCAUUUGGGAACAGGAGUAAUAAUGAAAAGUCCAAUCCCUGGAUUGUCUGUUUCAGUGAGUGAGGAUAAAACCAAAAUGGAUCUCCAGAUCUCCUCUGCUGCAGGGCCAGACUCUGCUGUGUACUACUGUGCUCUGAGGCCACAGUGA